rnacentral:tRNA from 1 species
CGGGACGUGGCGCAGCUUGGUAGCGCACCUGGCUGGGGGCCAGGGGGCCGCAGGUUCAAAUCCUGUCGUCCCGA